rnacentral:ribozyme from 14 species
CAAAAAAAGAGGAGGGAGCAAAAAAGCAGAAAACAUGUUGGUGAGUUUAUUUUGUUUUUCUUUCAUGUUGGAUUUUCUU